CAUCCUUUGAGGAGAAUCUAGAUCCAAAGAGGAGAAGAGAAGAAAGGGUGAACUGUGCAUGGAUGUGCAAAAGGAAGAUCGGGAAAUGUAGGGUGGAUAGGCCACCCGGAAGCCUGAAUGGAGAACACGCAUCUUCUGUUUGCUGGCUCAAAACUCUUGAGAUGAGGCAAAGUGAAAGAUGGCUCUGCUUCAAGCAUGGAUGGAACCCUGUACCUAGUUUUAUGCAGCAGCUGUCCCGUGGAGAGUCUAUGUUUUUAAGAGAAAAACACCAUCCUAUUGAUGAGUCUUUGCCACCGGCCCUGUUCAAGCAACCAAGGGUGAAAGACUGCACUGAAGGAAUUUUCUGAAGGAAUUUGAGAGACAUGGG
rnacentral:lncRNA from 1 species